rnacentral:rRNA from 1 species
UACGAAGGGGGCUAGCGUUGCUCGGAAUCACUGGGCGUAAAGCGCACGUAGGCGGACUCUUAAGUCGGGUGUGAAAUUUCGGAGCUUAACUCCGAAACUGCACUCGAUACUGCGGUGCUUGAGGACUGGAGAGGAGACUGGAAUUCAUGGUGUAGCAGUGAAAUGCGUAGAGAUCAUGAGGAAGACCAGUGGCGAAGGCGGGUCUCUGGACAGUUCCUGACACUGAGGCACGAAGGCCAGGGGAGCAAACGGG